GGCUAGACUGACAGCUGCCUGAGGACCAUAGAGACGCUCACCUACAGGAGCGCCUAAGAGGCUACGCUGUCCGGGCACAAAAGGACGAGACUUCAAUUCCCGGAGGGAAGACCAACCAGGUGGACCCCCUAACCUCCAGGAAGUGACGAUACAGGGGCGAGCGGCUCCGCAGCCAGGCCUUCCCGAGCGGGGCCUGUCGAGCGGGCCGCGCGCAGCAUGGCGGAAGCGGAAGGGAGUUCUCCGCUCCUGUCGCAGCCGCCGCCGCCCCCUCCUCGGAUGGCGGAAGUAGAAGCGCCGACGGCGGCCGAGACGGACAUGAAACAGUACCACGGGUCCGGUGGCGUCGCCAUGGACGUGGAGCGGAGCCGCUUCCCCUACUGCGUCGUAUGGACGCCCAUCCCGGUGCUCACGUGGUUUUUCCCCAUCAUCGGCCACAUGGGCAUCUGCACAUCCACAGGAGUCAUUCGGGACUUCGCUGGCCCCUAUUUUGUUUCGGAAGACAACAUGGCCUUUGGAAAGCCUGCCAAGUUCUGGAAAUUGGACCCCGCACAGGUAUAUGCUAGUGGGCCCAACGCAUGGGACACAGCUGUGCACGAUGCCUCUGAAGAGUACAAGCACCGAAUGCACAAUCUCUGCUGUGACAAUUGCCACUCACAUGUGGCAUUGGCCCUGAAUCUGAUGCGAUACAACAAUAGCACCAACUGGAACAUGGUGACACUCUGCUUCUUUUGCCUGAUUUAUGGGAAGUAUGUCAGAGGCAGGCUUCCAGACAGUUGAGCUUCUAGGCCAGGCAGAUCUCUGAAGCCACAGCCUCAUGACCUGUGAGACACUCAUCUCGCUUACACUGAGAGAAUUCAGGAUGUGUUGGAGCCUUUGUGAAAACCUGGCUGCCCUUUGUCCUCCUGCUGGGUAUCAUCCUGACCGUCAGUCUCAUCUUCAACCUGCGGUGAUGGCUUUCCAAUGGUCUGAGCUCUCCAGGCCCCCAAGGAGGCCCCUGCCACCCACCCUGGUUCCAGUUCUUUUAUCCCCCACCCCCUUGGGCAGUUGGCUUCCUGGGUUGGAAGUAGGGUCAGGGCUCGAGAUGGAAAUGCUGAUGUAUGAGGUGAGGACACUUAGAGCCUCCUUGUCCUCUCUCCCUGGGCUGUAACCUCACCUUUGUGGCAUCCCCAUUGCUGUCAUGGGAAGGCCUUCCUUUAGAGCACCUGCUGCCACUGCCACUGAGCUGUUUCUGCCAUGCCCAGGACGCAUUGAGGACCCACUGGGCAAAGCCGCGUCCAGAGCUGGAUUUGAAGCUGCUUUCUGACGGGUUGUGUACUGAAGUGGGGUGUGGUGUUCUAAGAAGCACUGCGAGCCAAGAGACUUGGAACCUUCUCUGCUGGCCUAGAAUGGACUGGAAGGGCUGGGCUCUUCUGUGUCUGCUAGAGCUGUGCUAGCAUAUGUACACCCAUUGCCCCUCAUCUGGGCCCUGGCUAGCAAGGUGAACGACCUUACAAGCAAAGUGGGUCCCCUGUAAAUCAGGUAAGGUGAACCCCACUUAUUUCCAGCCCAGGGAGUCUUUGUGCUGCUGAUAGAACCCCUCAUGUACAAAGUGUACAAAGUGUGAGUAACCCUCAGGGCAGCUGGUGGCACCGUGGAUCUGCUUCCAGUUGCUGAGUGAACCCUGUGCAGCCUGCCUCGCCCCCUGCUCCUUUAUAAGGGGCUCCAUGGCAGGAAAUAAAGUUUCAAGUCAG